rnacentral:rRNA from 1 species
GGUUAUCCCCCUUUCCAGGUUGAAUAUUCCCGAAUCUGGUCUGUUUUUGGAGUCCAAGCAAUCUUGGGGCUUGUUUAGUACUUGGAUGGGUGACCCGCUUGGGAAUACCAAGUGUGAUAAGCA